GCUGUAGUAGCUCAAUGGUAGAGCGCGUUGCUGUUAACAACAAGACCUUGGUUCGAUUCCAUGCUACGGCU
rfam:Wallemia ichthyophaga EXF-994 unplaced genomic scaffold scaffold27, whole genome shotgun sequence.